UGCAGAGCUGGUUGGAAUGGUAUUCCCCUUUCAUGGUUGCAAGAAUUAUAUAAUUCUUUUCAUUGCAUAAACUUAAAGAUGACUGAAAAUUGGAAAAAUCUCAUUUUAUAACCAGUUCUCAAUCUUUUACUUGAAAGCAAAUUUGUGUGAGUUACAAUAUGCUGCCAAAGGAAGUAAUCUGUUUUCUGUGGUAUUUCAUUAUUUUGUGUCAUUGUUUGGCCAGUACUGGCAUGCUGUUUGACACUGUAUAUUGUCUAAAACAUGAAGCAUGACUUUGUUGUAGUGUAAGG
rnacentral:misc_RNA from 1 species